GACGAACGCUGGCGGCGUGCUUAACACAUGCAAGUCGAACGAAGAGCGAUGGAAGCUUGCUUCUAUCAAUCUUAGUGGCGAACGGGUGAGUAACGCGUAAUCAACCUGCCCUUCAGAGGGGGACAACAGUUGGAAACGACUGCUAAUACCGCAUACGAUCUAAUCUCGGCAUCGAGGAUAGAUGAAAGGUGGCCUCUACAUGUAAGCUAUCACUGAAGGUGGGGAUUGCGUCGGAUUAGCUAGUUGGAGGGGUAACGGCCCACCAAGGCGAUGAUCAGGAGCCGGUCGGGGAGGAUGAACGGCCACAUUGGGACUGAGACACGGCCCAGACUCCUACGGGAGGCAGCAGUGGGGAAUCUUCCGCAAUGGACGAAAGUCUGACGGAGCAACGCCGCGUGAGGGAUGACGGCCUUCGGGUUGUAAAGCUCUGUUAAUCGGGACGAAAGGCCUUCUUGCGAAUAGUGAGAAGGAUUGACGGUACCGGAAGAGAAAGCCACGGCUAACUACGUG
rnacentral:rRNA from 1 species